rnacentral:tRNA from 1 species
AAAAAGUUAGUUAAAAAUAACAUAAAUUUGUCAAAUUUAAAUUACUAUAUUUAUUAGUACUUUUUA